UCAAUUUUAUAUUGAGUGAAACUACCUUCCGUUUUUGUAUCAUACACAAUUUACAAACUUUACUUCACACCAGUGUUGCUGUUCUUAAAAACCUGCCGAUUGCCCGCAUACAUAUCUGGAAAGCUCGUUAAGAUUUUUUUUGUGUGUAUAUAUAGCCAUGGUGCCAAGGUGAUCAAAUACAUCAAUUACUGUGUUUUUUGUAUUUGUUUUUGAGAUUGUCAUUGAUUAUUGUGUUUUAAUUGAAUUAUCAAACCACUCUUUAUCACGCUAAACACAAUCAUAAAUCACAUUUCUCAAAAAUUCCUAUUGAAACUCAAGCAGACAACAUGUGCUCAUGAAUGAAAGAAUUUGAAUUAGCUGCCGCAGUAAUUUCACCUUGUUAAAUUCGUCUUGCGUGGUGGCAUCACUCUAAUGCGUACACAAUAAUCAGCUGUUAUAACAGUGGUAUACCAGUUUUAAUUUCGUUUAUUAAUGUGGAAGAAAUGUGCUAAACUGAGAAAAAUAAUUGUUGUAUCGUUUGACAAUCUUUUACAAGAAAAGAUUAUACGAUUGCCCUGGAGUGAGGGCUUGAAGAGUGAAGGAAGCCUGUGAUGAUCAACGAAUUGAUUUGGAACGCUUACCUAAAAAAAAAGUUCCGUGUGUUGUCAUAUUGAAAAGUUCUGUCUGUAUGUUUUUCAUCUCGAGUGGUUGCCUACAAUCAUUGUUGUGAUAGACUAGUAGAAGCUGGCAUCCUUAGGAUCAACUGGUGGAAAGAAUUUUUAUUCGAAUGGUUCUUAAUUGUGAACUGGUGGAAAGAAUUUUUAUUCGAAUGAUUCUUAAUUGUGAGCUCUCACUGCUGUGCGUUAGUAAAGGACAAUAGAAGAUUAGUGAUAAGGGCAAAAUCAUAAUUAGACAUAAAUGGAGAACAGUCGGGGUUUUUCAUGGUGAUCUUAAUUUAAGUCCUCGUUGAAAUUCGAAAUGUAAAGGAAUUUAUAUAACCUACAUGUUUUAAAGUUCGAUCUACACCUUAUAAAAAACCUCUGUUAUCAAGCUAAUUUAUCGUUGUUGUAAGAGAGUAGCUUUUUAAAAUUAAAGGGAUGUCUAACAUUCCAUAUUAAAAUGGAGAAAAUAA